rnacentral:rRNA from 1 species
GAUGAACGCUAGCGGCAGGCUUAACACAUGCAAGUCGAGGGGCAGCGUGAUGAAGUAGCAAUACGGAUUUGACGGCGACCGGCGCACGGGUGCGUAACGCGUAUGCAACCUACCCAUAACAGGGGGAUAACACUGAGAAAUUGGUAUUAAUACCCCAUAACAGUUUUAGAGGCAUCUUUAAGAUUUGAAAGUUCCGGCGGUUAUGGAUGGGCAUGCGUUGUAUUAGCUAGAUGGUGGGGUAACGGCUCACCAUGGCGACGAUACAUAGGGGGACUGAGAGGUUAACCCCCCACACUGGUACUGAGACACGGACCAG